GAACGCUGGCGGCGUGCCUAAUACAUGCAAGUCGAGCGGACAGAAGGGAGCUUGCUCCCGGAUGUUAGCGGCGGACGGGUGAGUAACACGUGGGUAACCUGCCUGUAAGACUGGGAUAACUCCGGGAAACCGGAGCUAAUACCGGAUAGUUCCUUGAACCGCAUGGUUCAAGGAUGAAAGACGGUUUCGGCUGUCACUUACAGAUGGACCCGCGGCGCAUUAGCUAGUUGGUGAGGUAACGGCUCACCAAGGCGACGAUGCGUAGCCGACCUGAGAGGGUGAUCGGCCACACUGGGACUGAGACACGGCCCAGACUCCUACGGGAGGCAGCAGUAGGGAAUCUUCCGCAAUGGACGAAAGUCUGACGGAGCAACGCCGCGUGAGUGAUGAAGGUUUUCGGAUCGUAAAGCUCUGUUGUUAGGGAAGAACAAGUGCAAGAGUAACUGCUUGCACCUUGACGGUACCUAACCAGAAAGCCACGGCUAACUACGUGCCAGCAGCCGCGGUAAUACGUAGGUGGCAAGCGUUGUCCGGAAUUAUUGGGCGUAAAGGGCUCGCAGGCGGUUUCUUAAGUCUGAUGUGAAAGCCCCCGGCUCAACCGGGGAGGGUCAUUGGAAACUGGGAAACUUGAGUGCAGAAGAGGAGAGUGGAAUUCCACGUGUAGCGGUGAAAUGCGUAGAGAUGUGGAGGAACACCAGUGGCGAAGGCGACUCUCUGGUCUGUAACUGACGCUGAGGAGCGAAAGCGUGGGGAGCGAACAGGAUUAGAUACCCUGGUAGUCCACGCCGUAAACGAUGAGUGCUAAGUGUUAAGGGGGUUUCCGCCCCUUAGUGCUGCAGCUAACGCAUUAAGCACUCCGCCUGGGGAGUACGGUCGCAAGACUGAAACUCAAAGGAAUUGACGGGGCCCGCACAAGCGGUGGGAGCAUGUGGUUUAAUUCGAAGCACGCGAGAACUUUACCAGUCUUGACAUCCUCUGACACCUAGAGAUAGGCUUCCCUCGGGACAGAGUGACAGUGGUGCAUGUGUCGUCAGCUCUGUCGUGAGAUGUUGGGUAGUCCCGCCACGAGCGCAACCC
rnacentral:rRNA from 1 species